rnacentral:rRNA from 1 species
UACGUAGGGUGCAAGCGUUGUCCGGAAUUAUUGGGCGUAAAGAGCUCGUAGGCGGUCUGUCGCGUCUGCUGUGAAAACUCAGGGCUUAACCCUGAGCUUGCAGUGGGUACGGGCAGACUAGAGUGCGGUAGGGGAGACUGGAAUUCCUGGCGUAGCGGUGGAAUGCGCAGAUAUCAGGAGGAACACCGGUGGCGAAGGCGGGCUUCUGG